rnacentral:rRNA from 1 species
UAGCGUAUAUUAAAGUUGCUGCAGUUAAAAAGCUCGUAGUUGGAUUUGUGGCGUGGUCGUCCGGCGGGGCUCCUUCAUUGGGGCCGUUUGUCUGGUUUUUCGACCGCACCAUUCUCGGGUAGUGUGUCGCUGGCAUUAGGUUGUCGGCUUCUUCACGCCCGUCGUUUACUGUGAAAAAAUUAGAGUGUUCAAAGCAGGCUUAGGCCGUUGGAUACAUUAGCAUGGAAUAAUGAGAUAGGGCCACGACGGUCUAUUUUGUUGGUUUGCACGUUGUGGUAAUGAUUAACAGGAACGGUUGGGGGUAUUCGUAUUCAAUUGUC